AUGUAUCAUCUCCUGGCACUCGACCCAUCUCUCAGCAACAAAUUCUUCAUCACUCAAUUUUUGCUGGGCCUCAAGGACGAGUUGCGCGCAGCAGUUCGGCUGCAGGCGCCCAACAGCAUCACGCGUGCGUCCAUUCUCGCACGCAUUCAAGAGGAGGAGCUGAACACGCCCAGGGCGCGUCCACGGCCGCAGCCGCAGGGCCGCCCACCACCACCUGUGCCCGCCCGGCCGCCGGCCACGCCCUGCCAACAGCCCGACGACUACGCCCGCGAACGACAACUCAAGGAGUUCCGGCGCGCCAACGGACUCUGCUUCAAGUGCGGAGACCAGUACACUCGUGAUCACCGCUGCAACACGCAGGCCCAGCUCCUCACCAUCCAAGUGGGCGCAUACGGGGAGCUGCUCACCGACGACAUCGUGCACGCCCUCGACCUGCUCGAUGCACCCCAACAAGAAGCACCCCCUCCAGAGUGUUGCACAAUAUCAGCGCACGCCCUGGAUGGCUCGGAGGCGCCAAGCACAAUCCGUCUCCGCGCGCUUGUGGGCAACCAAGUUAUGCUCCUUCUACUGGACUCUGGGAGCACCCACAGCUUCGUCAACAAGUCGUUCGUCGAGCGCGUUGGGGCGACAACGCAAGAGAUCGCCACAUUGGAUGUGCGGGUGGCCAAUGGCGACCGACUAACCUGCUCGCGCCAAAAAUUCAUCUCCUUCCUGCACGAGGGCGAGACAGUCAAGCUACAAGGUGUUCUUCCAAAGUCGACACCCACUCUCGCAGCGGUGCAACCGGCAGAACUAUGCAAGUUGAUCGCCGGCAAUGAUAUCUGGGCAAUGGCCAUGGUCGAGAUGCAGCCCCCCAAACCAAGACCACGCAAGCCUUCGCAGACGCCCAUCAACGAUCUCCUGGAAGAAUUCAGCGAUGUGUUCACCGCACCCACCGGCUUGCCUCCUCACAGGCAGUAUGAUCACGCGCUGAAGCCGUUCACACCCAAUUAUACACCGGUGUUCUCCGAACUGCCUGCGACCGUCGACUUAUCAGCAGUGGACUCUAACCCAGUUCAGAUUUUGGAUCGGAGGAUGAUGAAGAGAGGAGACGCACCAGUGGUUCAGGUGCAGGUGGCAUGGAACACAACUCCUCCGUCGACAACCUGGGAAGACUAUGAAGUUCUUCGACGUCGCUAUCCACAGUCACCAAUCUGGGAAGACAGUAACUCCGAAGAAGGGGCCGUUUCUCAAGGCGGGGAGAAUGUCACCCCGGUGCUGCAUACCACCGUGACCCGGGCCAGUUGGCGUGCGUGGGUACUUAAAGCCUUGGACAGGGGCGUGUAUCGGUAUGUGGAAAGAAAUGAACUAAUUCCCUCACCUACCCUCUCCUCUGCUCAUCCCCUUCUCCAAGCUUCUCCCCCUCCCCUCUCUCGAUCCGAUCCAGCCUACUCUGGUCCCCCUCAACCAGAUCGGGGCGUUACACCGCUGCUCGCAGCCUCGACCACCUCCGACGACCUCCCCGACGAACGGGCGCGCCGGGACUUGCCUCGUGGUGCUCCUCCGACGACGAAGGAGCAUCCGGCCUUCUCCUCCUCCCCUUCGCCGCCGCCUGCCGCGGCCGCGGCCACCCCGGCCUUCUCCUCCUUGCCUUCGCCGCCGCCUCCCGCGGGCCUCCCCGACCCCGAGGCCGCCUUAUCCUCCUCCGAGCUUUCGGCGCCGACUGCCGACCCCGAGGACCCGAGCAGCGCCAAGAAUUCUCCGACGGGGCCCACACCGACGCCCUCCUCCCUCCAGCCAGCAGAUCCCCCGGCUCGCGUGGCCGUGAGCGACGGGUCGUCGUCUUCCGCUAGACAUUGGUGGAACUUCUCUGGCAGGGUGCGACCAAGGGGGCCGUCGCAGUCGCACCUUCCCGUCUUGGUUCACGGCGCUCAACUUCCCGUCCCCGCCGCGCGUCGCAGCAUCCACGAGUCCAUUCAGGCGCUCCGUAGCCAGGGACCAAGGCUUGACUCAGUUGGCGUUGAGAAGGUGAUCGGCCUAUUCGGCUUCUCCCUAUUCAGAUCCCUUUCCCUCUUGCCCUCCACCGCGGAGCGCGCUGCGAGCAAAGAUAACUUGACCAACACACAGAGGAUCAUCCUUGUGCUGAGCUUCGCUUUGAUCUGGGUGCUGGCUAGCGUGGGGCUCUUAUGUGGACUGCACGGCAAGUCCAACUUCGAGCAGGCGGUAUGCAGGCUCACUGCUCGCCUAGGGAUUCUUGGACUGACACUACUAGUGGUUCUCCACCUCACAUGGAUGCUCCCGACCGGCACCUUUGCCACUGUCUGCUUCUACGUCUUCAUGUUCGCCGCUGUCAUACUUCACUCAGUGUCAUGGAGUCUUCAUAGCUACCUAGUUGGCGAGGACAAGAUCGAGGAGAUUGCAGCAACAGAGCAGCGGUAGGCGAGGUCAGUAGAAGCGCAUGUUAACCACCUCCCAUGUGCAAGCUAGAAUGUCAAGCCCCCUGCCAGCAUAGUCAUUGACCAUGGCAAAAGCACCUUCUGCAGUCGCCAUCAUCUGUAACUCAAC
rnacentral:rRNA from 1 species